GGGAUGGGGAGACAGUGACUUAAAGCAUCACAUAAAUGAAUGCAAAUUAUGGCUGUGUAAAGGAGAGGCCCCUCGUACAAAGAAAACAAAGCAGGGAAACCUUUUCUCCUCUGGGGUUGAGUGAAGACCUUCCUAGUGGAGGAAAGGAAUAUAAAGAUGUCGCAGGAAAAAGAGAAGCCAGUGUGGCCAGAUCUUCAAAGAAAGAGAUAUCCUUUCGAGGCAACACAAGAAGCCAACUACAAAUGAGAAUAUUAUUCUCUUGGUGCAGGGAUUGUUGCAUGUGGACCCCAUCAGCCUUGAAAAGUCCAUGCAAUGGAGUGAAACUUGACAAAGCAGUUGCAGUCGUUCACCACUGAAGCAAAGUCUUCUUCCUAGUCAUGCGGGUCUGGAAGGAUGUUAACUGAUGGAAUUUUUAUUUAGCCUAUUAUUUCAAGUUUCAGCAUAGUGAUGCCUCUGCCUUAAGGUAGAAGUUAGUUUAAUUCUUGAAAUCUCAGUUGAAAGAAUUCUGGUGAACUCUAUUCCAAUCAACAGACAUUCACAUUAACUAACUUCCUGAUGGAGGAGAAACAGUCUGCAAACGCUGAAUAUGGAAGACAGGCAAUAAUGCCCAUUCACAGUAUUUUUCCACCACUUCUGCUAUAAGUUAAGAUUGUAACAGAUAGAAUAUUAAUUUCAAUAAAAGAGUUUGAAAUGAUAAGAC
ensembl:lincRNA